GUCAUUGGAAACAGGUGAGCUUGAGCUUGAACUGUUCUGACAUAAAAAUACUGUAAAUUCAUUUCUGUCUGUCUCAAGGAUAUAUGAAAGAUGUUGGGGACACGGGGUCAGAAGAAGUGGAUGUUCUUUGCCAACAACGGUGACUUACAGUGCAUAGAAGUCUUCCCCACUGUGCCAAAUUUGGUGACAACGUCAGGUUGAAAAAUUUGGGGGAAUUUUCACUUCAAGACCUUUGAUGGUCAUUUCUUACAAAUGGCUGACACAUGUAACCACAUUCUGGCAGUGAUGUGUGAUGCACCUGUCUCAGAUUUUAACAUCAUGAAUGUGAAUGGCUCAGGUACUUCAGUCACAGAGCUGGAGGGGACAUGACAUCCAUCAAAUUUAGUCAAGGCAACAUCUUCAUGGACGACCUGGUAUCUAUUCCCAUGAGUCAGAAUGAAAUUAACAUCGAGAGAGGCUCAUAGAGUGUUAAGAUCUCCAAAUAUGGAGUGACUGUUAUUUGGGAGGAAGGAGAUCACUGUAUGGUGGCUCUCCUCAUCAACUGCAAAAUCCUGAUGGUUCGCUCACCCCGUCUGUUGAUGGUGUCACCCUGGCGUUUCAAACCAAACUAAAAAAUCUUGGUGUCAUUUUUGAUGCGUCGCUGUCAUUUGAGCCUUUUGUUCAGAAGCUUUGGAACUCUCUUCCAGCUGACAUAAGUGAA